AGCGAACGCUGGCGGCAGGCCUAACACAUGCAAGUCGAACGGACCCUUCGGGGUUAGUGGCGGACGGGUGAGUAACACGUGGGAACGUGCCUUUAGGUUCGGAAUAGCUCCUGGAAACGGGUGGUAAUGCCGAAUGUGCCCUUCGGGGGAAAGGAUUUAUCGCCUUUAGAGCGGCCCGCGUCUGAUUAGCUAGUUGGUGA
rnacentral:rRNA from 1 species